rnacentral:sRNA from 1 species
AUCUAGCGGAUCCUCCAUUGGUAGGCCAUGAAACUUGUUCCCCUGAACCAUAGCAAUGAGACCGCUUUUGACCGUGUAUGCAUGCAACAGAUAGCAGCCGUGCUAUAACAGACGAAUCAGAGAUGCGUCUGGAAAGCAGGUUGCAAGGUACCUGAAACACAAAGACAGAAAAGGCACAAUGUUAGUAACUUGUGUAACAAAAACGAACUUGAUCUUAAUGUUUCUAAUGAUCUCAAAUAUAGCAAACAAACAUCAAACUGGCAACGGCGCCAAAUUGAUAGUAGGAUUUUUGUCAAUUAAUCCCUAAAACACUAUCUUGUCGUUGUAGUAUUUUAGGAUGUCAAUCCAAUCCGGUGUGAUGCAAACAGAUUAGAUAUGAUCAGAAAGCUCUAAGUCAAGCCAAGCAGAAAGUUGGUUGGUUCUAACAGUCCUGGUAUGCAAUAACAGAAAUGAAGUGAAACUAAAAGCAGGAAUGGCAAUAGCAGGCAAGUGAAUGACAAAGCAGAAAUGAUAACAGGCAAUCAAAUGGAUAAACGAUUCCUAAGGAUGGGGUAAUCGAAUAGUGUGGUCUACUUAAUCUAUUCAGGCGGUUGACAAAACUUCACAGAAGCUAUCCCUAGACAACAAGUUCAACAACAGAUUAAUUCACUCCCGUGAUAGAAAUCCUCAAGCAAAGCUAGACACUGACCUAAAUCCCUUUAGCGAUCUCUAACUAAGCAGGCAUUAUCGAAUCAACAUGUUAAAGUCAAUACCCUCUCUACAGCCAAUCCCUUGGGGUAGAGUCAGAUAUCUCUGGAAUUAAUAGGAUCCAACGCCCAUUAAACGCCUUCUGAGCGCUGGACGUCUGGACUCAUACUCCACAUUAGCUAGUGAAAUAAGCAAUAAGCGCAACUAAUCCAGAAGGGAUUCUAGUAUUCUAAACUCAACCACCUAAAACGACCAAGUAAACCACAACUAUUCUAUCCCAUCCUCAGAAAUACAGUUCACUACUCAGACAUAAUCAAAGACAAUAACAAAGCAACAAUUGAAAACAUGAUAACAGAAAUGACGAAAGACUUAAACGAAAACUGAAUAUCAAAUACUUGAAAACGAAACUACAAAGUCGCAGGAGAAACACUGCGGCUAUCAAAGUUGCGAAAAUGUAAAAGCGAAAUAAAAAGGGAUAAUAGCGGACCCUAGCCGACGCCCUAGGAAAACCCUAAGAUGUAGUUUAUAUAAGCAAAA